rnacentral:rRNA from 1 species
CCUACGGGAGGCAGCAGUGGGGAAUAUUGCACAAUGGGCGAAAGCCUGAUGCAGCAACGCCGCGUGAAGGAAGAAGGCUUUCGGGUUGUAAACUUCUUUUGUCAGGGACGAAGCACGUGACGGUACCUGACGACUAAGCCACGGCUAACUACGUGCCAGCAGCCGCGGUAAUACGUAGGUGGCAAGCGUUAUCCGGAUUUACUGGGUGUAAAGGGCGUGUAGGCGGGGAAGCAAGUCAGAUGUGAAAACCACGGGCUCAACCUGUGGCCUGCAUUUGAAACUGUUUUUCUUGAGUGCUGGAGAGGCAAUCGGAAUUCCGUGUGUAGCGGUGAAAUGCGUAGAUAUACGGAGGAACACCAGUGGCGAAGGCGGAUUGCUGGACAGUAACUGACGCUGAGGCGCGAAAGCGUGGGGAGCAAACAGGAUUAGAUACCCGGGUAGUC